rnacentral:rRNA from 1 species
AGUGAACGCUGGCGGUAGGCCUAACACAUGCAAGUCGAACGGCAGCACAGUAAGAGCUUGCUCUUACGGGUGGCGAGUGGCGGACGGGUGAGGAAUACAUCGGAAUCUACUUUUUCGUGGGGGAUAACGUAGGGAAACUUACGCUAAUACCGCAUACGACCUACGGGUGAAAGCAGGGGAUCUUCGGACCUUGCACGAUUGAAUGAGCCGAUGUCGGAUUAGCUAGUUGGCGGGGUAAAGGCCCACCAAGGCGACGAUCCGUAGCUGGUCUGAGAGGAUGAUCAGCCACACUGGAACUGAGACACGGUCCAGACUCCUACGGGAGGCAGCAGUGGGGAGUAUUGGACAAUGGGCGCAAGCCUGAUCCAGCCAUACCGCGUGGGUGAAGAAGGCCUUCGGGUUGUAAAGCCCUUUUGUUGGGAAAGAAAAGCAGCAGGUUAAUACCCCGCUGUUCUGACGGUACCCAAAGAAUAAGCACCGGCUAACUUCGUG